rnacentral:misc_RNA from 1 species
UCUCCGUUGGUGAACCAGCGGAGGGAUCAUUACCGAGUUUACAACUCCCAAACCCAAUGUGAACCAUACCAAACUGUUGCCUCGGCUGGGUCACGCCCCGGGUGCCUCGCAGCCCCGGAACCAGGCGCCCGCCGGAGGGACCAACCAAACCCUUUCUGUUGUCCCCUCGCGGACGUUAUUUUUACAGCUCUGUGCAAAAAUUCAAAAGAAUCAAAACUUACAACAACGGAUCUCUUGGUUCUG